GGAAUUGUGGCUCAGUGGUAGAGCACUUGCCUAACAUGUGUGAGGUACUGGGUUCAAUUCUCAGCACCA
rnacentral:tRNA from 1 species